ACUCCUACGGGAGGCAGCAGUGGGGAAUAUUGCACAAUGGGCGCAAGCCUGAUGCAGCCAUGCCGCGUGUAUGAAGAAGGCCUUCGGGUUGUAAAGUACUUUCAGCAGUGAGGAAGGUGGGUAUGUUAAUAGCAUAUUCAUUUGACGUUAGCUGCAGAAGAAGCACCGGCUAACUCCGUGCCAGCAGCCGCGGUAAUACGGAGGGUGCGAGCGUUAAUCGGAAUUACUGGGCGUAAAGCGCAUGCAGGUGGUUUGUUAAGUCAGAUGUGAAAGCCCGGGGCUCAACCUCGGAAUUGCAUUUGAAACUGGCAAACUAGAGUACUGUAGAGGGGGUAGAAUUUCAGGUGUAGCGGUGAAAUGCGUAGAGAUCUGAAGGAAUACCGGUGGCGAAGGCGGCCCCCCUGGACAGAUACUGACACUCAGAUGCGAAAGCGUGGGGAGCAAACAGGAUUAGAUACCCUGGUAG
rnacentral:rRNA from 1 species